AUGGCUUCCUGAUCCAGAAGAUGUGACAACAUAUCUUUCUGAAAAUGAUCGUUAUGGAAUCUUGGUUUUCAAUGAAUUGCCUUCUGGGUAUCCUGAAAUUAAGGAACCACAUCCUUUACUGUCAGAUGAGGAGAUGUUGAAAAUAAAAAUGAAUACUGUAAGACUUUUUCAACACCCACUCAUGAAGGAUGAAAAAUUAGAAGAAAGAGAACUUUGGUG